UACGUAGGGGGCAAGCGUUGUCCGGAAUCAUUGGGCGUAAAGGGCGCGUAGGCGGCCUUUCAAGUGACGGGUGAAAUCCCUCGGCUUAACCGGGGAACUGCGUCUGAUACUGGAUGGCUUGAGUUUGGGAGAGGGACGCGGAAUUCCAGGUGUAGCGGUGAAAUGCGUAGAUAUCUGGAGGAACACCGGUGGCGAAGGCGGCGUCCUGGACCAACACUGACACUGAGGAGCGAAAGCCAGGGGAGCAAACGGG
rnacentral:rRNA from 1 species